rnacentral:rRNA from 1 species
AGAGUUUGAUCAUGGCUCAGAUUGAACGCUGGCGGCAUGCUUUACACAUGCAAGUCGAACGGCAGCACGGGGGCAACCCUGGUGGCGAGUGGCGAACGGGUGAGUAAUAUAUCGGAACGUACCCGGAAAUGGGGGAUAACGUAGCGAAAGUUACGCUAAUACCGCAUAUGCCCUGAGGGGGAAAGCGGGGGAUUCGCAAGAACCUCGCGUUUUCGGAGCGGCCGAUAUCGGAUUAGCUAGUAGGUGAGGUAAAGGCUCACCUAGGCGACGAUCCGUAGCUGGUCUGAGAGGACGACCAGCCACACUGGAACUGAGACACGGUCCAGACUCCUACGGGAGGCAGCAGUGGGGAAUUUUGGACAAUGGGCGCAAGCCUGAUCCAGCCAUGCCGCGUGAGUGAAGAAGGCCUUCGGGUUGUAAAGCUCUUUCAGCCGGAAAGAAAACGCACGGGUUAAUAACCUGUGCGGAUGACGGUACCGGAAGAAGAAGCACCGGCUAACUACGUGCCAGCAGCCGCGGUAAUACGUAGGGUGCGAGCGUUAAUCGGAAUUACUGGGCGUAAAGCGUGCGCAGGCGGUUUGGUAAGACAGGCGUGAAAUCCCCGGGCUUAACCUGGGAACUGCGUUUGUGACUGCCAGGCUAGAGUACGGCAGAGGGGGGUGGAAUUCCACGUGUAGCAGUGAAAUGCGUAGAGAUGUGGAGGAACACCAAUGGCGAAGGCAGCCCCCUGGGUCGAUACUGACGCUCAUGCACGAAAGCGUGGGUAGCAAACAGGAUUAGAUACCCUGGUAGUCC